GAUGACUUGUUUAUGUUUGACUCUUGUUGUUGGGCCUUGGCCAAGGUUGAUUUGACUUUGUCAAAUUAAUAUCAUUGGAUUUAGGGGAUUGAUGGAAUGUACAUUCCAUCUCCCAAAAUGAAUGGAUGAUAUUAAUUUGGUAAAAGUCCUCUUUUGACCAAUUUGUGUUUUGUUCAAAUUAAUAUCAUUGGAUUUAGGGGAUUGAUGGAAUGUACAUUCCAUCUCCCAAAAUGAAUGGAUGAUAUUAAUUUGGUAAAAGUCCUCUUUUGACCAAUUU
rnacentral:lncRNA from 1 species